rnacentral:rRNA from 1 species
UUGAACGCUGGCGGCAGGCCUAACACAUGUAAGUCGAGCGGAUGAAGGGAGCUUGCUCCUGGAUUCAGCGGCGGACGGGUGAGUAAUGCCUAGGAAUCUGCCUGGUAGUGGGGGAUAACGUCCGGAAACGGGCGCUAAUACCGCAUACGUCCUGAGGGAGAAAGUGGGGGAUCUUCGGACCUCACGCUAUCAGAUGAGCCUAGGUCGGAUUAGCUAGUUGGUGGGGUAAAGGCCUACCAAGGCGACGAUCCGUAACUGGUCUGAGAGGAUGAUCAGUCACACUGGAACUGAGACACGGUCCAGACUCCUACGGGAGGCAGCAGUGGGGAAUAUUGGACAAUGGGCGAAAGCCUGAUCCAGCCAUGCCGCGUGUGUGAAGAAGGUCUUCGGAUUGUAAAGCACUUUAAGUUGGGAGGAAGGGCAGUAAGUUAAUACCUUGCUGUUUUGACGUUACCAACAGAAUAAGCACCGGCUAACUUCGUG